GAUGAACGCUAGCGGCAGGCUUAAUACAUGCAAGUCGAGGGGCAGCACGGGUAGCAAUACCUGGUGGCGACCGGCGCACGGGUGCGUAACACGUAUACAAUCUACCUUUAACAGGGGGAUAGCCUUUCGAAAGAGAGAUUAAUACCCCAUAACACAUGAAAUAGCAUUAUUUUAUGUUAAAAGCUCCGGACGGUUAAAGAUGAGUAU
rnacentral:rRNA from 1 species